UACGGAGGGUGCGAGCGUUGUCCGGAAUCAUUGGGCGUAAAGGGCGCGUAGGCGGCCUGGCAAGUGGAAGGUGAAAUCCCUCGGCUUAACCGAGGAACUGCCUUCCAAACUGCUUGGCUUGAGUCCGGGAGAGGUGAGUGGAAUUCCCAGUGUAGCGGUGAAAUGCGUAGAUAUUGGGAGGAACACCAGUGGCGAAGGCGGCUCACUGGACCGGAACUGACGCUGAUGCGCGAAAGCGUGGGGAGCAAACGGG
rnacentral:rRNA from 1 species